rnacentral:rRNA from 1 species
UUCAUGAACAUCCCUUCUGUGUAUCAAGCCUUUGUUGCUUCCCGCAUGGGCGUAGCCUGCAAUGGCUACACUGCGGGAAGGAUAUCAUAAACUCUGGUUGUUGUGUCAUUAGUCUGAGUGGUAAACACAUUAAACAAGUUAAAACUUUCAACAACGGAUCUCUUGGUUCUCGCAUCGAUGAAGAACGCAGCGAAAUGCGAUAAGUAGUGUGAAUUGCAGAAUUCAGUGAAUCAUCGAAUCUUUGAACGCACAUUGCGCCUUCUGGUAUUCCGGGAGGCAUGCCUGUUCGAGCGUCAUCAAACACAUCCUCAAGCACGUUUGCUUGGUAUUGGAGGAAGAUGUCCGCAUCUCCUCUCAAAUCCCUCAGCGGAAACUACUGCAGUCUCAGGUGUCAUAAGAUUACCUUUCGCAUUGAUAACUGCCGGUAGGUUCUUAACUGUGAAGAGCCCCCCAGCUAUUCG